rnacentral:rRNA from 1 species
UAGGGAAUCUUCGGCAAUGGACGAAAGUCUGACCGAGCAACGCCGCGUGAGUGAAGAAGGUUUUCGGAUCGUAAAACUCUGUUGUUAGAGAAGAACAAGGACGUUAGUAACUGAACGUCCCCUGACGGUAUCUAACCAGAAAGCCACGGCUAACUACGUGCCAGCAGCCGCGGUAAUACGUAGGUGGCAAGCGUUGUCCGGAUUUAUUGGGCGUAAAGCGAGCGCAGGCGGUUUCUUAAGUCUGAUGUGAAAGCCCCCGGCUCAACCGGGGAGGGUCAUUGGAAACUGAGCGAGUUGAGUGCAGAAGAGGAGAGUGGAAUUCCAUGUGUAGCGGUUAAAUGCGUAGAUAUAUGGAGGAACACCAGUGGCGAAGGCGGCUCUCUGGUCUGUAACUGACGCUGAGGCUCGAAAGCGUGGGGAGCAAACAGG